GCGCCUAUAGCUCAGGGGAUAGAGCACCGGUCUCCGGAACCGGGUGCGAAGGUUCGAAUCCUUCUUGCUAGGCGACACCA
rnacentral:tRNA from 1 species